UUAGUUUUAUGAACGAAAUUAGAUGUCGGGACGUUUUGUUAAAAGCGGCAUAUGUCGUCGCAUACCGCUUUUUUUUUUGGCAAUUGCACAUAAUACAAUGAGCAACGCUAUAGCCUAUUCGGUUCAUCAAAAUGCGCUUUUUACCCUAUACAUGGAUGUGUACAGCUCAGCGCGCAGUCGGACAGAAGGCCGAGCAGCUUAAGUGGGAAAACGUCCAGCUUUACCGGAAGAUUGACUGGCCGAUUUUGAGGAGCAGGGAAACUCCAUCCAUAUUGAAGCACAUCUGGGCAUGGAUUGGAGAGGCCUGCUGUGCUGCUGCCCACACACCGCUGCAGUGACGCGCUUUGGCCGCCGGAGGGCAGCGCGGGACUGGAACCCACUGCCUGUGGAGGAAGGGAAGGUGCCGAGGAGCGAGGCGGUUGUGUGAGAUCGCCGGACUACAGUUCAUCUCACGGGUCAGCGCAUAUUUUAAACAGCCUUUAUUACCCUAACCCAGACCCCCGUUCCCCCCCCCCAUCCCAUUUCUAAAUCCGUUUACUGAGGGUCUUUUAUAAGCAGAAAUGUGAAAAGUGCUGACUGCUAUUCCCAUUUUGAGGAUAUCUGACUUCAUCAAAUUACAGUUGGGUUUUUGAAUAUUUCAUAUUUGAUCAAAAGCCCUUUACAAGCGCUGCACACACACUCUCGGGCCCACAUGGGGCAUGAUCAAUUUUUAAAACUCCAAUCAUUAUGCACACAUUGACCCACAAUGCCCACUUUAAUUCGGCUAUUUAUUAAGAAACCUUCGCACCAUUUUCACUUGUAUUAUUUCAAAGGUGCCUUUAAUGAACGCCUGGAGUGUAGCAUUAGCCUACUGUGCUAUAAGUUUGGGGCUUGCUUGUAAGCGCUCUUGUUGCUAUCGAACCGCACAGCACUGCCGUUCCCCUUUUAACCCCCCAUCUAAAACACUUUAAAAUUGCCAGCCUAGGACGGAGGCCAAUAUUGGCCUUGGCUGUACCUUGAAUAAUGAAUAAUUCAUCUCUUUGACCUUUAGCUGAAGUUUAUUGGAGGGUGAAGGCGUCCUGCUGGCCUGCCUGCUGCCUGGCCCAGCUUGAGCUCUGUUUCCCCUCUCAGUCAUGUCCCCUUCCAUAUCCUCGCCUUCCCUUGCUGUCGCCAACUGAGGUGUGAGGACACAAAAUGUCUUGACCAUCAAAGUUCCUCGCCGUGUCUCGGUCUUAUGUUUUGACUUGUUUUGAAGGUCAGGUUUGUUACGUCCACUUAUAUUAAACAUAACCCCUGACCCGCUUGGUAUCGUGGGAUCUUCCACCUGCUGUAUGUCUACACGCUGAAACAUAUUGUAUGGAAAAGCAUAGUGCCGAGUGACAGUGAGUGAUUGCUCUGAAUUGGUUGCGCGCUUGUAGAACUACUCCGUUUUCAAUUAAUCCUCUAUCCCGGCAUCCCAUCGGUCCCACGAGCUCUUUCGUAAAGAAAUGGCUGACUGGACUGUUUUACCUGUCGCCUUAGGCUGGUGCUAAAUGUCAUUGACAUUAAAUUCCCUUUGUUAAGUCU
rnacentral:lncRNA from 1 species